rnacentral:rRNA from 1 species
UUCACCUACGGACGCAGCAGUGGGGAAUAUUGCACAAUGGGGGAAACCCUGAACGAGCAAUGCCGCGUGAAGGAUGACGGUCCUAUGGAUUGUAAACUUCUGUUGUUAGGGAAGAACGACCUAAGUAGGAAAUGACUUAGGAGUGACGGUACCUUUCAAGAAAGCUCCGGCUAACUACGUGCCAGCAGCCGCGGUAAUACGUAGGGAGCGAGCGUUAUCCGGAUUUAUUGGGUGUAAAGGGUGCGUAGGCGGCUUCUUAAGUCUGUAGUCUAAGCCCGGAGCUUAACUCCGGUUCGCUACAGAAA